UUGCAUUUUGCAAUCAAAAGAAAAGAUAUAAAUCUCGCAAAAAUUCUUUUAGCUCGCGGGCAUCCCGCAACAGUCUCAAAUAAGCAUGGAAUCACCCCACUCCACCUGGCCUACGAGCUUGAGAGCAAAGAGUUGAUCGAUCUUCUACUGGAGCAUAAAGCCAGCAAAGUGGUGCCCUCCGUGGACGGCCUCAGGCCUUCGGCGAUGACACCUCUUAGCGAACAGUACAAAACUGCUGGAACGCCUGCUGGUUUUGAUGGAAGCUUAAUAGUCUCCUCCUCGCAAGAGGCGCUACCUAUAAGGAUGCUGCAGAGAGCAUUGGAACCUACUAAGCGGAUGGAAUCACUCAAAUUUAAUACCAAAAGAAAAUAAUACUUUACUCCAAAACUUCACUUAAUAAAUAAAUA